GUCGCGCAUCGUUUUAUCCUGAGGUAUUAUAUUUCGAAAAGCGAUUCUUUUCAUUACUGCUAAAGAUUUUGUAGAGAUCGACAAUCGGCUAUUCAUUAAAGUAGAUAUUUCGUUAGUUUAUAAUCAAGUACGAAUGGAACGAAGUAAUAUAUGAGUCGCAGAAUCGAAAGGUAAUACGACGAACGUUUAGUAAAAAUAUUUCUCUCCGCGAAGGUUACGUUUGAAAUAUAUCACGUAUGCAUUAUCGAAUUACGAAUAUGUACUUUAGCUUGUGUACUUUUAUUUAAUUAUUGACUCAUCUUGAUACAUCGUAUGGUUAGAUUAAAAUAAAGUUGCUAGUAUUAUUUUCACUUUCACAGUUAUUGACAGAAUACGAAACGGAUCUAUUUCAAAUUCAUAUUUUGAUUUACGCGUUCAUUCGUUUAUAUUAGAAUAUGUGACCGCAUAGUUCUAAUAAAUAUUAUUUAUUAGAAAUAGGAGUGUAAAUUUGGUUAGGUGUGUGAUUUUUGAGUAUGUCAAACAUAUCGUUGCAAUUUUACGUGGUCGCAAUUGUGCUUCGUAAUCUUAUCGUAUUCGGGAGUGACGUAUAAAGUGCCGCGCGAUUCAAAUUAACCUUGUUUUCGCGAGUGAGUGCCACAAACAAAAGACGAGGAAGAGAGGAGGAAGGGGCCCAGACAAGUAUCGAAAGCAGAUGACAGGAGCAACCCCGUGAAAUGCAGUAUACAGUUACAACUCGACUGUUACACAUCGUACCGGCAGAGCCGGGUCUUCUCCACUCGUUUUUUCGUUUCGUUCACGGAUGUGGGCUGGUUGUAAUUACAUGGGACCCGCCGACCGACAAGAGAAACUCCCACUUAAACAUACUGGAAGUCUCGCAGAGAAGAGGGGAUUUUUUCCAAUGGGGAGUCUAAUCUUACACCAUUAAUUCUUUUGAGGGCGCGCUGGACCACCUGGAGUUUUGUAGCUUUACUGGAGAGAAUCGCCAUCUUUUGAAACUGACAACA